ACUCUGUUGUAAGGGAAGAACACGUACGAGAGUAACUGCUCGUACCUUGACGGUACCUUAUUAGAAAGCCACGGCUAACUACGUGCCAGCAGCCGCGGUAAUACGUAGGUGGCAAGCGUUGUCCGGAAUUAUUGGGCGUAAAGCGCGCGCAGGCGGUCCUUUAAGUCUGAUGUGAAAGCCCACGGCUCAACCGUGGAGGGUCAUUGGAAACUGGGGGACUUGAGUACAGAAGAGGAAAGCGGAAUUCCAAGUGUAGCGGUGAAAUGCGUAGAGAUUUGGAGGAACACCAGUGGCGAAGGCGGCUUUCUGGUCUGUAACUGACGCUGAGGCGCGAAAGCGUGGGGAGCAAACAGGAUUAGAUACCCUGGUAGUCCACGCCGUAAACGAUGAGUGCUAAGUGUUAGGGGGUUUCCGCCCCUUAGUGCUGCAGCUAA
rnacentral:rRNA from 1 species